AGUGAACGCUGGCGGUGGGCUUAACACAUGCAAGUCGAACGGAACCACAGUACGAGCUUGCUCUUCCGGGUGGCGAUUGGCGGACGGGUCAGGAAAACAUCGGAACCUCCUUUUUCGUGGGGCUUAAGGAAGGGAAGCUUACGCUAAUACCGCAUCCGCCCUCCGGGGGAAGGAAGGGGACCUUCGGACCUUGCGCGAUUGAAUGAGCCGCUUUCGGAUUGGCUGGUUGGCGGGGUAAAGGCCCACCAAGGCGGAGAUCCGUGGCUGGUGUGAGAGGGUGUUCAGCCACCCUGGAACUGAGACACGGUCCAGACUCCUACGGGAGGGAGCAGUGGGGAAUAUUGGACAAUGGGCGGAAGCCUGAUCCAGUCAUACCGCGUGGGUGAAAAAGGCCUUCGGGUUGGAAAGCCCUUUUGUUGGGGAAGAAAAGCAGCAGGUUAAUACCCCGCUGUUCUGACGGUACCCAAAGAAUAAGCACCGGCUAACUUCGUG
rnacentral:rRNA from 1 species